AUGAACGCUGGCGGCGUGCUUAACACAUGCAAGUCGAACGGAAAGGCUCCUGCUUGCAGGGGUACUCGAGUGGCGAACGGGUGAGUAACACGUGGGUGAUCUGCCCUGCACUUCGGGAUAAGCCUGGGAAACUGGGUCUAAUACCGGAUAGGACGAUGGUUUGGAUGCCAUUGUGGAAAGUUUUUCGGUGUGGGAUGAGCUCGCGGCCUAUCAGCUUGUUGGUGGGGUAAUGGCCUACCAAGGCGUCGACGGGUAGCCGGCCUGAGAGGGUGUACGGCCACAUUGGGACUGAGAUACGGCCCAGACUCCUACGGGAGGCAGCAGUGGGGAAUAUUGCACAAUGGGCGCAAGCCUGAUGCAGCGACGCCGCGUGGGGGAGGACGGCCUUCGGGUUGUAAACGCCUUUCGCUAGGGACGAAGCGUUUUGUGACGGUACCUGGAGAAGAAGCACCGGCUAACUACGUG
rnacentral:rRNA from 1 species